ACCACAAACAAAUAUAACCCAUAAUAAAACAUAAACCUAACUUCUCCAUAUUCUAUGAAUGCAAACCUAACUUCUCCAUAUUCUAUGUACAUCGGUGUUUUGUACUAGUAGCUUAACAAUAUCCAGGUGACCAUACUUGACUGCUGUGUGUAAGGCGGUGUCCAUGACUUUAUCACCUUGCCUGAGAAAAGAUUGAAUAGAAGUAACUUGAUCAUUUGAAGGAGGCAACUGGCGAGCUGCAUCAACAAGGACCUCAGCCACUUCAGUGUGUCCGAAAUAUAUAGCACGGUGAAGUGCUGAAUGUUUAUAUCUAGUGAAGGAUAGUUUCUUCAUCUUGGAACAGUCUAUCAGCUUCCAUCUCCAAUUCAGCAAUGGCAUCAGCAUCUCUGGCCAUGGCAGCAUGGAAGAGAGUAUCCAGCAGAUCCAUAACUAUAUUCUACUCUACCACUGCUCCUGCGUAAUGGAUAUAUAUCUCGGAUAAUACCACAAACUCGAUAGCAUCCAGGAGCUAGUUAUAUAAAUGGAAGCUUGGUAAGGAGAUGUUGACCAACCACAGUGCUACAUACGCUGUGCUGAUGUAAAUUAAUGGUUGUUGAGCUUGCUGGUAAUGAUAAUGAUGCAUUAUAAUUUUGAAAACUAAAAAGCUGUGAAAUAAUAUAUAUUAUUUAUAUC